GAUGAACGCUGGCGGCGUGCCUAAUACAUGCAAGUCGAGCGAAUGGAUUAAGAGCUUGCUCUUAUGAAGUUAGCGGCGGACGGGUGAGUAACACGUGGGUAACCUGCCCAUAAGACUGGGAUAACUCCGGGAAACCGGGGCUAAUACCGGAUAACAUUUUGAACCGCAUGGUUCGAAAUUGAAAGGCGGCUUCGGCUGUCAUUUAUGGAUGGACCCGCGUCGCAUUAGCUAGUUGGUGAGGUAACGGCUCACCAAGGCAACGAUGCGUAGCCGACCUGAGAGGGUGAUCGGCCACACUGGGACUGGGACACGGCCCAUACUCCUACGGGAGGCAGCAGUAGGGAAUCUUCCUCAAUGGAUGAAAGUCUGACGGAGCAACGCCGCGUGAUUGAUGAAGGCUUUCGGGUCGUAAAACUCUGUUUUUAGGGAAGAACAAGUGCUAGUUGAAUAAGCUGGCACCUUGACGGUACCUAACCAGAAAGCCACGGCUAACUACGUGCCAGCCGCCGCAGUAA
rnacentral:rRNA from 1 species